ACAUGAUCAAGUUCAAACUAGACCAGGUUUCAGAGCAGUUUUGGAUGCACCUCAAUGUACGAAUGUUUGCUUCUGGUAUAUUCCUACCAGUAUGAGACACCAACCAGAAACUCCAGAGUGGUGGAACAAGCUUUCACAGGUUGCACCAAAACUCAAGGCAAAAAUGGUUGAAAAUGGUGAGCUAAUGAUUGGUUACCAGCCAGUGCCAGAUAAAGGUUUGGUAAAUUUCUUCCGUCUGGUUAACUACUGCUCACCAUCUCCAACUCAAGAACAUAUGGACCAUGUACUAGAUGUCAUACAACGAUUAGGGGAAGAAAUUGAAAACUUAUAAGACUUGGCACAAACAUAGCGAUGGAGGAAGCAACGUGUUCAGCAGUAGUAGUCAAAACCCCUUCCAGAAGUGACUGCAUGGAGACCAAUUGACAAGCCUAGGGAUGUUUUACAUGGACACCCCUCAAAAGUUUGGCACAGGCCAGUUUCCUUCUUGACCAUGCAGCAGCUCCAUGACUUGACAGGAGGCAGAGGAGAGGCAAUGACUGAGGCAUCAUCUGAAGAAAACUUAUUGACAGAAGGAACAGGAAUUGGUACUUGUGCAGCUUUUCCUAUGCAAACUGGAACCAGUGACUUAUGGACUAACUGAAGCACUGCUUAUGAGUUUGGUAGAGCACUGCUGAUCUAAACAAGGUGGGUGGAGAACAGAAUCCUUGCUGUCAUUGCAUUGAAAAAAUUAACAUAAUUCUCCAGCAAGACAGGAGAGAGAGAACUGAACUAAAUGAAAGUCCAAUAAAAUUAAGACAAACUGGCGCAGCUGGAAUGCCUAUGCUUUCCAUACACCGUUUAGCCUGAUAAGUUGAUAUGACAAAUUUUUUUUGAAUGGCUUCAUGAAGCCAUUGCAUGUCAAGUAUUUUUAUACUUUUUUUUUUAUUACUGUUCCUUAGUGUGGUCUUCGGACGCAGACUCAUCUCAAAAUCUUUGAUAAAGUUAUGUCAUCAGUUGAGUUUUAUUUGCCAACUCUUAUUUUUAGUUGUGGCAUAGAUGUGCUACAAUGAUUAACGUACCUGACCUAGGUGUUUUCGCUUGCAACAAUAGGCAGACUGCUGCUACAGAAUGACUUUUUCUAGCAUCAGGCUCGCUACUACUGUAUGCAAGUUUAUCUUGGCUACGCUACUACAAAUAGUUUGCUAGUGUAGUUGAGGAAUCCUCUGAAAUCCAUAUAUUUAAGCAAGGAGUAAAUUCAUUCCUGGUCUCUGUUGAUAUCUCCUGAAUUUAAUUUUUUUUUUAUAAAUUCCCUCAUACUUAACCUUUUCCUAUGACAUCUCUCUCUGAAUCAUUUAUCACCUUUUCUUGUGACAUCUCUCUCGGCAGGCUGAUUUCCCUUAGAAACCCUCUUGGGUUUAUAAUCUGUUGACUCUGUCUGUAAGGGUUUUCAGCUGAAGAUUUAAAGAAGAAAGAAAUAUGUUUCUAAAUUUACUGUUCCAGCUCUGGUGCAUUCUUGUAUGUUGAGUGACUACUGGUCUAUACUCAGAAAUGAUUAGUGCUGGGCAGAUCAAUUAUAAGAUAAGAUCAUCCAUGUAUUCCCAUGAUUACAGCACUAACAUUACAAUGGAACCUCAGUUUUUGUAGACUUUUUCUGACAAUUUUGUCUCGGGUUUCGUACAUUUCCUCUAUUUUAUACUCGGAAAUGGUCCUUCUGGGGCUCACUGUGUGACUGUCCCAUAUUAGCGCCCAUACAAUUCAUCCCGUGUUCUCUCAUGAUGCGGUACCAGUGCCCAAAACAAAGCAACCAGUGUUCUCUCGUGACCCAUUCUGCUUUUGUUGUAGUUUUUUUGUGCUUUUUUUUUUAUUUGAGUACAAAUGCUAAAUAAGCCAUUAGGGAGGGGGCUCAAGAAAGUUCCAAGUGCCAGCCCUUCUGUAAAAUUGGCGAGAAACACUAGAAUUUAAGAAAGAAUGCGUAGUAAAGUAUUGGUGGGUGUUGCAUGCUAAUCACAGUAUAAAAAUGCCUACAAGCGCUGCUGUCAGUGAAUUUAAGGCCAGCAGAGGCUGGUUUGAAAAAUUCAGAAAACUACCAGGCAUACAUAAUGUGCUUACUUCAGUGAUUAAGGGCAUGUUUACAAAGUGGAGUGAUGUAAAAGAUUUUGUGAAGAAUCCUCACCCCAACAAAGAUGUUGGGAGACAUCAUCUUUAAUGACAAUGCCAUGUGCCACUUUAUGCAAAUUUUAAAGAAUGGCAGAAACUACCUGUAGUUAACUACAGGUAGUGCCAGUAAAAAACUAAAAGUAACCCCAGAUAGGUCCUUAAUACCUGAAAUCCUUCUGGAGGGGGAUUCCCCUUCCAAACAAUAACUUCUCUUCCCCUUCUCUCCAUCUGCCAUCCACUAACAAUUCUCUGUCAUAAAGGUAAGUGAUGUUAAAUGUUCGUUAAGUUUUGUUAUUCAUUUAAUUUCUCGUUUUACGUAUGUAAAACUGUUUAUUCCCUAUCAAAUUAAUUUUUUUUUUACUACUUUUGGGGGUCUGGAAUACAUUAUUUUUAUUUACUACAGUAUUCCCUAAGGGAAUUAUUUCUCCCACAUGCAUGUGAAUGCCAAAUGCUGAGCAUUUACAUUUGAAGAAUCUGUCAAGUGGAACAGCAUGAGAUGUCCAACCCUGUCCCUGAACUGGCGUUCAAAAGCAUUUUGCCAGCCCAGUAUGUACAAGUCUCCACUCCCCUUCUAUCUGGUGGUGUUUUAUAAGUUCUUAAAUAGUUUAAUAAUCCUGUUGUCUCCUCUGGGACAAAAACUGUCAACUAAUUAUACCAUCCUGUCUCAUUACUUUUAAUAUAUUGUUCAUGGAUAGCUAUUGUCCGUCUUGCUUAAGGGAUUGAGGAGGCAAAUAUCAAAGGUAAUAAGGACUAGAUGCUAGUGGGGGACCCGAAUCAAGAAUGACAACUGGUUGCUGAAGCAGAAAAUCUCCCAACACUCAAGGCUUUGAACUGAUGGACUCCCAGGUCUAACAAUUUCCCAAGGACAGUCCAUGGCCUGGAGAGGAGAGGAGAGGGUAGAGAGGGUGACAUAGCUUCAUCUGCACCCUUAAAAGGAGACUACUUUUAACUUCUGGAUGAAAGGGCAACAUCAGCUAUAUGGCUAAGAAGUUGAACAGCACUGAUGUGGAGAGAAAUGCCAGGACCUCAUGGGCACAACCAAAGUCUGCUGUUGGUAUGGGGUCAUAGAUUGAAACUGACAGUAAGGCAAGGUAAUUGGUUGAGAAACCGCAAGGGUGGAGGACAGUGAUGAUAUUGCAACACUCAAGAUACUAAUCAUGUUAGCUGGAAAAAGUUUUCUUUCAAUGCUUGAACAAAGUCCUCCAGGUCAGGUCCCAAGGUGUUCAGGACAGUUAGCAAGUGUAACUCUGGCACACACACCUAACAUCACACUUCUCACAACCAAGCCCCUUGCACCACUCCACCACUACAAAAGUUCAUGCUGUUCGGCCCUAUGACUCGCCAACCAAUCCCUCAACCAAGCUGAGUCAAAGUCCAAGUAUUUAUAUUGAUAAAUAUAAGGACAACAAAUCAAAGAUCUAAUGAAGCUGCAUCCCUAUUUAAAUUAAGAAUAUUUUAACCUUUGCCUUUGUUAACAGGAAUUAGUUUUCUCUCUCAGCUGUCAAGAGAGUUGGGAUGAAAACACACUGAAAAUGACAAAUUGUCAAUGGCACAUCACAGUUUUGUAGAAACAGCUCUAGUAAUCCUGAAGAGAAUGGUAAACCAUCAAUUUUAGGUUCAGGGACAGAAUGAACUGGCUUCACUUCUGGAUAGAGAAGCGCAAUAAAAUCUACCUUUGAAACUGCUUUGGCCAUCCAUCAAAGGAUUUUUAAUUAAGAAAAAACUGUGGCCGUUAAGUGUAAUUUGUAGUUGGUAUCCUUCCACAAUGAAAUUCUUAAUUUGUUGGUAAAUCUAUUAUUGGUUUCCAUCUAAGAUGAAUUAUGAUUAGUUUGUAAAUCUGAGUGGUUAUUUUUUAAUUCCUACAUCUCCUUGCUAUGAUUACAUCAUUGUGUGCCUUUGGCAGUGUUCUUGUGAACUACUGUAAUGUGAAGAUUUAUAAAGUAAAGAUGGCUGGAAUAGUCUUGUUUAAUA